rnacentral:misc_RNA from 1 species
UGGUUCUGGCAUCGAUGAAGAACGCAGCGAAAUGCGAUAAGUAAUGUGAAUUGCAGAAUUCAGUGAAUCAUCGAAUCUUUGAACGCACAUUGCGCCCUCUGGCAUUCCGGGGGGCAUGCCUGUCCGAGCGUCAUUACAACCCUCAAGCUCAGCUUGGUCUUGGGCGUCGCCGCUGUGGCGCGCCUCAAAAUCAGUGGCGGUGCCAUUCGGCUUCAAGCGCAGUACAACUCUCGCCCCGGAGCCCGCGUGCGCACCUGCCAGAACCCCAAUAUUUCGCAGGUUGACCUCGGAUCAGGUAGGGAUACCCGCUGA